CACGCCAUUGGGAGAAGAAUCAAGCUGAGGGCUACUUUCAUAUGCUUUCAAAGAAGACAAGUUUGUGCCAGCUGCUACGCUGAUAGAGGUGCUCGCCAAAACCUCUCCUAAUGGACCGCCUGUUGAAUUUCCCCAAGAAACUGGUAACCAAUUUAACUGCUUUUGAAGUGAUUCUCCAAUAUCAUUACUUACGCCCAAGCUCAUUUGGAUAGGGCCUAGCUCACGAGAUAGCCUCGCUUUUGAAAUGGCAGGUUUUUCCCGUAGAGAAGGAUAAGAGGAUGAUGAGAAAUCUGAAGGAGCUACAGGGAUAGACAUCGAAAGCUGCGUCCAGUCUGAUUUUAGUUGUUCUGGCCAGGAGACGGGGGCUAGAUCA
rnacentral:lncRNA from 1 species